rnacentral:rRNA from 1 species
AACGAACGCUGGCGGCGCGCCUAAUACAUGCAAGUCGAGCGAGAAGACGUAGCAAUACGUUUGUAAAGCGGCGAACGGGUGAGGAAUACAUGGGUAACCUACCCUCGAGUGGGGAAGUAACUAGCCGAAGGUUAGCUAAUACCGCGUACGCUCCUCGGACUUCGGUUCAGGAGGAAAGCGAUACCGUGGGUAUCGCGCUCUUGGUUGGGCUCAUGUCCUAUCAGCUUGUUGGUGAGGAACGGCUCACCAAGGCUUCGACGGGUAGCUGGUCUGAGAGGACGAUCAGCCACACUGGCACUGCGACACGGGCCAGACUCCUACGGGAGGCAGCAGUAAGGAAUAUUGCGCAAUGGGCGAAAGCCUGACGCAGCGACGCCGCGUGGGGGAGU